AACGAACGCUGGCGGCAGGCCUAACACAUGCAAGUCGAGCGAGACCUUCGGGUCUAGCGGCGGACGGGUGAGUAACGCGUGGGAAUAUGCCCUUUGGUACGGAAUAGCCUCGGGAAACUGAGAGUAAUACCGUAUGCGCCCUUCGGGGGAAAGAUUUAUCGCCAAAGGAUUAGCCUGCGUUGGAUUAGGUAGUUGGUGGGGUAAUGGCCUACCAAGCCUACGAUCCAUAGCUGGUUUGAGAGGAUGAUCAGCCACACUGGGACUGAGACACGGCCCAGACUCCUACGGGAGGCAGCAGUGGGGAAUCUUAGACAAUGGGGGCAACCCUGAUCUAGCCAUGCCGCGUGAGUGAUGAAGGCCUUAGGGUUGUAAAGCUCUUUCAGCUGGGAAGAUAAUGACGGUACCAGCAGAAGAAGCCCCGGCUAACUCCGUGCCAGCCGCCGCGGUAA
rnacentral:rRNA from 1 species